GACGAACGCUGGCGGCGUGCUUAACACAUGCAAGUCGAACGGAAAGGCCCUGCUUGCAGGGUACUCGAGUGGCGAACGGGUGAGUAACACGUGGGUGAUCUGCCCUGCACUUCGGGAUAAGCUUGGUAAACUGGGUCUAAUACCGGAUAGGAGCCAUCUUUAGUGUGGUGGUUGGAAAGUUUUUUCGGUGUAGGAUGAGCUCGCGGCCUAUCAGCUUGUUGGUGGGGUAAUGGCCUACCAAGGCGGCGACGGGUAGCCGGCCUGAGAGGGUGUACGGCCACAUGGGGACUGAGAUACGGCCCAGACGCCUACGGGAGGCAGCAGUGGGGAAUAUUGCACAAUGGGCGCAAGCCUGAUGCAGCGACGCCGCGUGGGGGAUGAAGGCCUUCGGGUUGUAAACUCCUUUCGCUAGGGACGAAGCUUUGUUGUGACGGUACCUAGAUAAGAAGCACCGGCUAACUACGUG
rnacentral:rRNA from 1 species